CCUACGGGGGGCAGCAGUGAGGAAUAUUGGUUAAUGGACGAGAGUCUGAACCAGCCAAGUAGCGUGAAGGAUGACUGCCCUAUGGGUUGUAAACUUCUUUUAUAUGGGAAUAAAAUGUUCCACGUGUGGGAUUUUGUAUGUACCAUAUGAAUAAGGAUCGGCUAACUCCGUGCCAGCAGCCGCGGUAAUACGGAGGAUCCGAGCGUUAUCCGGAUUUAUUGGGUUUAAAGGGAGCGUAGGUGGAUUGUUAAGUCAGUUGUGAAAGUUUGCGGCUCAACCGUAAAAUUGCAGUUGAAACUGGCAGUCUUGAGUACAGUAGAGGUGGGCGGAAUUCGUGGUGUAGCGGUGAAAUGCUUAGAUAUCACGAAGAACUCCGAUUGCGAAGGCAGUUCACUGGACUGCAACUGACACUGAGGCUCGAAAGUGUGGGUAUCAAACAGGAUUAGAUACCCCAGUAGUC
rnacentral:rRNA from 1 species